rnacentral:lncRNA from 1 species
AUUGUUUAUCUACUGACUCUUUCUUGCAGGCAUAGUAUUAGUUGCAUUAGUAAUGGUUACUUUCCUUCCUUUGAAAUACUUAUGCCUGGAUAGACCUAGUGGGUAAGUCGGCGAGGUCGGAUGCCGAGCCCACUGGGAACUUCGUUGUAGUUCUCACACCACUAACCCUACAGGUCCUAGCACGAGCGGGGCGGCGGAGGACCGAGGCAAGGGUUUGGCGCCAUAGGUAGCGGCCACCGGGGACUUUAUGCAUUUUGUAGUCAUUCCCUUUUUGUUAUACAUGUAUCAACUUUAUUUUGUUGAUUUAGGUAUGUAAAGUGAAAACAAUCAUGUAAUGGUGGAUGACUAAAUGUAAAAGAUAUAAUGGUUGGAUGGAAUGUAAUAGUUUUAUUUACUUGAAUUUGGUUUAAAGAAAAUCAAAUAACAUGUGUGAUGUAUAUUUAGCUUAGAGCUUUCGCUUCCGUUGUUGCUUGCCCUCGUGCAAGCCUUGUAUUAUAUAUGCAAUUCCCUUGUUGGUUGCCUAUUUAUACAUGUUGUUUGAGCCUUGGGCGGACAGGGGAGGCUCUGUCCGUUCGGCGUCUGUUGACGUGACCCGAACCCGACCAAAUUGGCGGGGAUUGGGGCGUGACAGAUAUGCAGAUAGAUAGAUAUAUAAAACUGAAAACAGUACAGUAAUAAGCAACUAUAAUCUAUCAAUGCCUCAAUCCAGUGAAAUGCAUGCAUGGAACUCAUAGUAAGAAGGCUGACUAACUCACUACUAUGUUCAACGACAAGAUCACUUAUCUGAUUACCCAAUCUCUCGGCGAACGCAAGGUUCGCUCACAGUCUCACGUCUCUAAGUCUCAUAGGAGAGGUGGCUAGCUAUUCACCUACCCCGAGACCGCCUGCAGACACUACACUGGUCCAAAGGCACUACACUGGCCCCCUCGCGUGCCAAACUUCGGAGUGCACUACCUGUGAGGAGCUACCUCCACAGGUGCAGACAGGCUAAGUGAGCUCGAUCCAAUCUCACGAACUGGAAACACCCUAUCCAACUAGGGGUGAUAGCAACAUAGUAUUCAAUUAUACUAGGGUUCUCAUGCCACUCUUGCACUACUUAAUGCCACUCGUUCAAUGUUUAGGUUAACUAGAUGCCACUCGUUCUCUUGACAGGUUCUUGAUACACUAGUUUCCAAUACACUAGGUUCAUAUUCACAUAAACAAAUCCAUCAUCUAUAUAGGGCGAUCUAUCUCAUAGUAUUCAACUCAUGCAUACUAGGUUUUCAUUCAUGGUAUCUACCACCCAAACUAUCACUAGCAUGCAAAGAUGUGCACAAUUACAUUUAACACCCUAUAAUGCUAUUUCACAAUAUGUAAAUGAUCGAUAUUAGUACUCAGACAUAAAGAGUAGCCCGACUGCUUCGGGAUGGCACUCCCCCACCUCGUGGUGAUGCCGCGACUCUUCGAUUGCGAUUCGCCGACGUUUCGACGCCUCGUUGGCUUUCCCGGCAAAACGACGCUCCGGGGGUCGCCUUCGACAACAACUCCGCACCUACUCGACGAAUCGACGAACCGUCUUCGCCGACGCGUUCAGAGACCUAACAAUUAGGUUUGCGACCCAUCAAAUUAGAUCAAAACCCUAGAUUAGUCAAAACCCCAAAUCGGAGCCCUAGAUCUCGACACUGGAGAAAUCCGCGGUGCGAGCUUCGAUUUCGAGCUCGAACCUUCACCCUAGCUUCAAUAGAUUCCAUUUGAACCAAAUCCAAGCUAUAAAACCCUAGUUAUCCAAAUCCACCAUUAAAGGGUUUAGAGCUUACCUCUAUACCAAGCUCCGAGCUUGAAGAGGGAGAGAAGAAGGUGAUCUUCUUCUUCUUCUUAGUCUUCUCCUUCUCUUUCUCCUUCUUUUCCUUCCUCUCCUUCUUCUUCUUCUUCUUCUCCUUUCUAGAGAGAGAGAGGGAAAGGUGUGAGAGAGGGAGAAAGCAACUGAGGGAGAGAAGGAGGUCCCCAAGCCCUCAUAUAGGCCAUUUUGCAAUUAGCCCCCUCAACUUUUCAUUUUCUGGAACAGCCCUCCCUGGGCCAUUUUCGCAGUGAGGGACCGGUCCCAGCUCGGGGAGACCGGUCCUCGAAAGCUGCACAACCAGGCAGAGGGGAUUUCGCGUUCGGGAACCGGUCUUUGCCUGAGAGACCGGUCCCCGGGAGACCGGUCCUUGUCCGAGAGACCGGUUCCCGAGAGCAACAUCUUCGGGACUUAGCCAAAUUUCGGCUUCACUCGCUGGGCCAACGUUCGGGAACCGGUUCCUCCUCACCAGAGACCGGUUGCAUCACAACCUCCCGCCAGCCCAGCCUGAUGGGACCGGUCCCUCCCUACCAGGGACCGGUCCCUGAGAGCAUUUAUGCUCCAGUGCAGCUUUUGCACUGGUGCUCUCGCGGACACCUCCUCAAUCCACCUUAUGCAUUGUGGUCACCUUCGGACCUUCCGAAGCUUACUCACUCGACAAUCAGUCGAUUCUUGGCGAAGUCUAAUCCUCGAGCUUCGAGAAUUCACUUCCCUUACACUUAAUGAAAUAUUAAAGUCAGUUACAAUGGAAGAAAAAAUAUGUGUUGAAGUCCGAAUCCAAAUCCUAAUCAAUAAUAUUGAUUAGCUCAUGUUCCAUAAUCUGUGAACAUAUGAACCGUCCAAAUAAUAGCAUUUGAGUUUUCCUGAAUCUUUCAUAAGGCAUCUUGCUAUGUUGCUUCCUGUUUCUAUGCAGAUGCACGUACUCAAUAAGAUGCAGGGAUUUGGAAAGGAUAAGCCAGUAACAGCUGAUUUUCUGAUGGACGUGGCAUUUGGAUCCGCAUCUAUACGUCACUUUCUGGAUAAAAUAACUACACAUGCCUGUAGCACUUCUAGAUAUGUACUUAUUCCUGUACAUAGUAAUUGGCAUUGGCAUUUAGUAUCAAUUGAUUUGAAGGAACGACGUUUUGAGAGUUGGAACUCUUUGUGGAGCCACAGCGGGGCACAGGACGCGGCAGAGCUGCUGGUAUUAAUUUAUUCUUCUCAGUAGACAGCUUGUUUUAGUUAUUUAUUCACUCGGCAGUAACAUCUACUAUCCAGUCGUUUUAAUUAAUUUACCAUUUUUUCUCUUGGACAGGCGAAGUGGUUUGCGUCAUAUUUUGAGCACAUCAUCCAAGUCCCCAUUGGCGCUCCUGACGUGGUAUUUCAUAAAGAAUGUCAACAACAGGGUUCCACGGAAGUCGAUUGUGGCAUGUACACAUGCCUUUUUGCCGAAAGAAUUGUAAGAAACGGCCUCCCCGAUCUGUUAUCGUACGAUAAUGACCCCCACUCUUUCCGUGCUCAUAUGGUCAGUGCCAUCUUAAAGGAUCCAUGUUGUGUGACCUAUACUUCAAUGAUUGAGUCCACUGUCGCAAAAGAUGAUGUCUGAAUGUUAUAGGAUUGUGCACUUGUGAGUGGUAUUGGGCAGUUUGUUUAUAUAUGAUUGUGAAUGUGCAAUUGUAAAUUUGUGACUGGUAUUCGGCAGUUUCUUUUUAUAUGAUUGUGAAUUUGUUUAUAUAUUACUCUGAAUUUGUUUAUAUAUGUGACUGUACAAUUGUGCACAUUGUGACUGGUACUGGGCAGAUUGUUUAUAUAUGAUUGUGAAUGUGCAAUUGUGAUAUUGUGACUAGUAUUGUGAAUAUGUUAUAUAUGAUUGUGAAUUUGUUUAUAUAUGACUGUGAAUCCAACUAUAUAUGUGACUGGUACUGGGGAGUUUGCUUAUAUAUGACUGUGAAUUUUUUUAUAGAUGAUUGUGAAAUGUGACAAUUGUGACGGGUACUGGGCAGUUUGUUUAUAUAUGAUUGUGAAUGUUAUAUGUUGUAUUGGAUGUUGUCGAGUUGCUUGGAGAGCCAUGGCAGUUUGUUUAUAGAAACACUGCAAUAUUUUACGGAU